GACGAACGCUGGCGGCGUGCUUAACACAUGCAAGUCGAACGGAAAGGCCCUGCUUUUGUGGGGUGCUCGAGUGGCGAACGGGUGAGUAACACGUGAGUAACCUGCCCUUGACUUUGGGAUAACUUCAGGAAACUGGGGCUAAUACCGGAUAGGAGCUCCUGCUGCAUGGUGGGGGUUGGAAAGUUUCGGCGGUUGGGGUUGGACUCGCGGCUUAUCAGCUUGUUGGUGGGGUAGUGGCUUACCAAGGCUUUGACGGGUAGCCGGCAUGAGAGGGUGGCCGGCCACAAUGGGACUGAGGUACGGACCAGACGGCUACGGGAGGCAGCAGUGGGGAGUAUUGCACAAUGGGCGGAAGCCUGAUGCAGCGACGCCGCGUGCGGGAUGACGGCCUUCGGGUUGUAAACCGCUUUCGCCUGUGACGAAGCGUGAGUGACGGUAAUGGGUAAAGAAGCACCGGCUAACUACGUG
rnacentral:rRNA from 1 species